rnacentral:rRNA from 1 species
GGACUACACGGGUAUCUAAUCCUGUUUGCUCCCCACACUUUCGCGCCUCAGCGUCAGAACCGGUCCAGAUAGCCGCCUUCGCCACUGGUGUUCCUCUUAAUAUCUACGGAUUUCACUCCUACACUAAGAAUUCCACUAUCCCCUACCGGUCUCUAGCCUCCCAGUAUUAAAAGCAAUUCCGAGGUUAAGCCCCGGGAUUUCACUUCUAACUUAAGAGGCCGCCUACGCGCCCUUUACGCCCAGUAAUUCCGAACAACGCUAGCCCCCUCUGUAUUACCGCGGCUGCUGGCAC